AAAUAUCCAGGAUCAAGGAGGGCUGGAUGCAGUGGAGACAGGCACCCAACCUUCCCAGAUACUCCAAGCCUCCAGCUGCCAUGCUCCAGUGCAGACAGACAAUCGGAUGGGGAAGAAGCUGGAUUUGUCCCCAAGGAUGGCAGACAGGACAGUCUUCAUCUGGCAUAUCUCUUGGCAGUUGAGGCAUCUGGCUCAGCAUCUAGUCACAAGACUGGAAUCCAACUCUUUCCCUUCAGCUUCCUGGUCCAGGAAACACAUUUCCAAGCCUCAUGAUUCUGCUUGAUCUUCAAGGUGACCCUGGAAGCUUGGCCGGGUCAGAGUGACUCCCCACCUUCCACUUCCAGACAGGCAGUAGGGCUGGAGAGAUUAUAUGAUGUGCGGGACAUAGAUUAGCAUCUGGGUCUUCACUCAGGCCCACCCUGGUGUGUUGUUCCUGGAGGAGGAGGAGCUGGGUGAGAAGACACGGACACAACCCAGUGGAGAUGGCUCUUGAAUCUGCUGCCACUUGGCAUCUGCUCCUGUUGCUUCCUCUGCCAGGGACACUCUCCCCAUCUUCUCAUCGGACCAUGCCCUACCUAAACGACCUUUUAGGCAAACAUCCCCCGGCUACUUGCAGACAACCUAUAUAUAUGAUUUCCUGGGCGGUUACAGUUCGUAGAUGGUUAUUCUGUGUUUGGUGUUCACCUUUCUGUUUGGAUCUCAAGCUUCUUGGGAAUGGACUCUCUCCAACCCCUAGCACAAAGCUUGUCCCACAAAUGUACAGACUUUGUAAUGUGUGUAAGCUCGGUCAACCAAUCGGAUGAUGAUGCCACAUGUGUGUGUUAUUCACAAAGCUUAUUUGCAUUUUUCUUUUUUGCUUACCAAUCAUUUACCAUUGCUCAUGAAACACGUGGUCACAUUUGGGUUGUGAUCAAGUCAGACUCCUCGCCAUCCCAAUCCCACCUGGCACCCUACUGUCUCUCAUCUUCCCUGUUCUUCCUCUGGAGGGAGCCACAUUGCCAGUUUGUGUGUCUUUGCCAGAUCCUUAGCCACGUGUCCCUCCUGGUUUCUAUCUACUGAGGAGGUGGAAUGUAGGGCCCUGGCCCCCAUUUGGGUAGCUGUUGCUUUGC